rnacentral:rRNA from 1 species
UGUCUCCUACGGGAGGCAGCAGUGGGGGAUAUUGCACAAUGGGGGAAACCCUGAUGCAGCGACGCCGCGUGUGGGAAGACGGUCCUCUGGAUUGUAAACCACUGUCCCCAGGGACGAAGAUGACGGUACCUGGGGAGGAAGCUCCGGCUAACUACGUGCCAGCAGCCGCGGUAAUACGUAGGGAGCGAGCGUUGUCCGGAAUUACUGGGCGUAAAGGGAGCGUAGGCGGACUUUUAAGUGAGAUGUGAAAUACUCGGGCUCAACUUGAGUGCUGCAUUUCAAACUGUAAGUCUAGAGUGCAGGAG